rnacentral:snoRNA from 1 species
CUCCUCUCUGGGUGGCACCUGGAGAGUUUCCAGUAUUCUACUAGUCUCGGCUAUGGGAGGGAGAGUAAAGCAGAGGCCUGCCAUUCCAUUCCUAGCUUGGCCAGUGGCUAGCCAGUGGAAGGCAAUCUGCUACAAGU